AACGAACGCUGGCGGCAGGCCUAACACAUGCAAGUCGAGCGAGCAUUUCGGUGCUAGCGGCGGACGGGUGAGUAACGCGUGGGAACGUGCCCUUUUCUGCGGAAUAGUCCUGGGAAACUGGGGGUAAUACCGCAUACGCCCUUUUGGGGAAAGAUUUAUCGGAGAAGGAUCGGCCCGCGUUGGAUUAGGUAGUUGGUGGGGUAAUGGCCCACCAAGCCGACGAUCCAUAGCUGGUUUGAGAGGAUGAUCAGCCACCCUGGGACUGAGACACGGCCCAGACUCCUACGGGAGGCAGCAGUGGGGAAUCUUAGACAAUGGGGGCAACCCUGAUCUAGCCAUGCCGCGUGAGUAAUGAAGGCCUUAGGGUUGUAAAGCUCUUUCAGCUGGGAAGAUAAUGACGGUACCAGCAGAAGAAGCCCCGGCUAACUCCGUG
rnacentral:rRNA from 1 species